rnacentral:rRNA from 1 species
GACGAACCGUGCGAACGUUAUUCGGAAUCACUGGGCUUAAAGCGCGUGUAGGCGGGAGGGCACGUCCGUUGCUGAAAUCCCCCGGCUCAACCGGGGAACGGGCGCGGAUACGACUCUCCUUGAGGGGCGUAGGGGGACCUGGAACUUCCGGUGGAGCGGUGAAAUGCGUUGAGAUCGGAAGGAACGCCCGUGGCGAAGGCGGCACUCUGGGACGGUACUGACGCUGAGACGCGAAAGCGUGGGGAGCGAACAGG